rnacentral:rRNA from 1 species
AACGCGAAGAACCUUACCUGGUCUUGACAUCCACGGAAGUUUUCAGAGAUGAGAAUGUGCCUUCGGGAACCGUGAGACAGGUGCUGCAUGGCUGUCGUCAGCUCGUGUUGUGAAAUGUUGGGUUAAGUCCCGCAACGAGCGCAACCCUUAUCCUUUGUUGCCAGCGGUCCGGCCGGGAACUCAAAGGAGACUGCCAGUGAUAAACUGGAGGAAGGUGGGGAUGACGUCAAGUCAUCAUGGCCCUUACGACCAGGGCUACACACGUGCUACAAUGGCGCAUACAAAGAGAAGCGACCUCGCGAGAGCAAGCGGACCUCAUAAAGUGCGUCGUAGUCCGGAUUGGAGUCUGCAACUCGACUCCAUGUAGUCGGAAUCGCUAGUAAUCGUGGAUCAGAAUGCCACGGUGAAUACGUUCCCGGGUCUUGUACACACGC